rnacentral:rRNA from 1 species
AUUGAACGCUGGCGGCAGGCCUAACACAUGCAAGUCGAACGGUAACAGGAAGAAGCUUGCUUCUUUGCUGACGAGUGGCGGACGGGUGAGUAAUGUCUGGGAAACUGCCUGAUGGAGGGGGAUAACUACUGGAAACGGUAGCUAAUACCGCAUAAUGUCGCAAGACCAAAGAGGGGGACCUUCGGGCCUCUUGCCAUCGGAUGUGCCCAGAUGGGAUUAGCUAGUAGGUGGGGUAACGGCUCACCUAGGCGACGAUCCCUAGCUGGUCUGAGAGGAUGACCAGCCACACUGGAACUGAGACACGGUCCAGACUCCUACGGGAGGCAGCAGUGGGGAAUAUUGCACAAUGGGCGCAGCCUGAUGCAGCUAUGCCGCGUGUAUGAAGAAGGCCUUCGGGUUGUAAAGUACUUUCAGCGGGGAGGAAGGGAGUAAAGUUAAUACCUUUGCUCAUUGACGUUACCCGCAGAAGAAGCACCGGCUAACUCCGUG